GCGGGCGCGGGGCGGGGCCGGGGCGGGCGCGGGGCGGGGCCGGGGCGGGCGCGGGGCGGCCCCGGCAGCGGGGAUGGCGGCGGCGGCGGCCGGGUGAGGGGCCGCGGCUGGCAGCGCCGAGCCCGCCGGCACCGGCUGGGGACAGGGACAGAGCGCCGGCCCCGCGGGGUUAUUUGGAAGAGAUGCAGGAUUUUCUCCCUGAACAGCUAAAGCAGUAUCACCUGCCCCAGGAAGGGUUUCCUUCUGAAAUGGGCCCUGGCACAAUGGGGCUGCCAACGCCUGAAACGUUCUGCUCUGCUGCAUAAUCAGAAUGAAAACUCAACAAAUACGUUAAGAUAUUUCCAGAAAGUGCCUCGAGGAAGCUUCCUUAUGUAGAAAAACCCCACAAGAAACACAGUGUGUGCUUCCUGGCAGCU
rnacentral:lncRNA from 1 species